ensembl:lncRNA
CUCUCGUGACUUUGUUGUUGUGUGGUGACUCGCUGGUGCUUUCUCUUCUGCAGAGUCUCCAGGAACAGAAGUCCGACAAAAAGCAGAUGAAAGCCAAACUCCGCCGCCUGGAGGAGGAUAACGCUAAGAGAGAGAAACAGAUAGAGGAGCUGUUGGAUCCCACUAAAGUACGAUCCCCACAUUCGUAUUUGUUUGUACUUUAAACAAUAGAUCUGUCCCUAAAGGGUUCAAACAUUCCUUCGUAGGGAUCUGAAUAUACUCGUAGUUUGGUGGAUAAGAAAAGAGAGGGCAGUGUGGUGAGUAUGUCCAGCCGGUGCCAGAGACCACUCUUCUGAUUUAUUCCACACGGAUUUUGUAAACUUGAUUUCUCUCCAUCAAGGUUCUGAACGGGCUGAAGCAGAGAAUCCUGAAGCUGGAGCAGCAGUGUAGAGAGAAAGAAAAAGCCCUGAGGUGAAACGCUCUCCCGCCUGGGCUCAAGUCCAGUUGGUUCAUCCGUGGAGCAGCAGAAUUUUCAGAUUAUUAUUUUUUGUCUCUCCAGUAAGCUACAAAGCGAGCUGAGGACCACUAACCUGGAGGAGCUGAAGAUCACAGUGGAAACCUACUUUGACGAGGUGACACGUCUGCCUGUGACUGUGACUUUUAAACCCAAAUGUUAAACUUAUUAUUUGAGCACCGGAAACAAUCGGCGAAGGAAUGAGAGAAGCUCUGGCGCUUUAAAUGGUUUGUCAUCAUCACGUUUAAAUGGAAACUUUCACCCAACUUGUGGUGUGCAUGUUUGCGGGGUUUCUUUUUUCAGAUCCAGAGGCUGAGGAUGCUUCUCGAAGCUGCGGAGAAAAGCAGUCGAGCGGAGAGCAAAUGCUCCCAGAGGCAGCAGAAAGCUUUGAGCUCCACGGUUCAUCGUCUCUCCGGCAGCCUGAAGCAGCUCCAGCAGGAGAACGCGGCGCUGCGAGAGGAGCUCGACACCGACGGCCCCGCGGGAGGAACCAAAGGUCUUUGCUCACACGCGGAAACCACACCGGCUGCUACACAAACCCAUCAAAAGACAUUCACUUCCCCGUCCUCCGCUCGUCGGGUCGCAGCGUGGGCCCCUCCUCGAAACCUGGCACGUUGUGA